AUUGAACGCUGGCGGCAGGCUUAACACAUGCAAGUCGAGCGGAGCGAGGGUGCUUGCACCUUAGCUUAGCGGCGGACGGGUGAGUAAUGCUUAGGAAUCUGCCUAUUAGUGGGGGACAACAUUCCGAAAGGAAUGCUAAUACCGCAUACGCCCUACGGGGGAAAGCAGGGGAUCUUCGGACCUUGCGCUAAUAGAUGAGCCUAAGUCGGAUUAGCUAGUUGGUGGGGUAAAGGCCUACCAAGGCGACGAUCUGUAGCGGGUCUGAGAGGAUGGUCCGCCACACUGGGACUGAGACACGGCCCAGACUCCUACGGGAGGCAGCAGUGGGGAAUAUUGGACAAUGGGCGGAAGCCUGAUCCAGCCAUGCCGCGUGUGUGAAGAAGGCCUUUUGGUUGUAAAGCACUUUAAGCGAGGAGGAGGCUCUUAAGGUUAAUACCCUUGAUGAGUGGACGUUACUCGCAGAAUAAGCACCGGCUAACUCUGUGCCAGCCGCCGCGGUAAGAC
rnacentral:rRNA from 1 species